rnacentral:rRNA from 1 species
GUGCCAGCAGCCGCGGUAAUACGGAGGGUGCAAGCGUUAUCCGGAUUCACUGGGUUUAAAGGGUGCGUAGGCGGAAUGGAAAGUCCGUUGUGAAAUCUCCGAGCUUAACUCGGAAAUUGCGGUGGAUACUAUCAUUCUUGAAUACUGUGGAGGUUAGCGGAAUAUGUCAUGUAGCGGUGAAAUGCAUAGAUAUGACAUAGAACACCAAUUGCGAAGGCAGCUGGCUACACAGAUAUUGACGCUGAGGCACGAAAGCGUGGGGAUCAAACAGGAUUAGAAACCCGGGUAGUCC